UUUAUGGAGAGUUUGAUCCUGGCUCAGGAUGAACGCUGGCGGCGUGCCUAAUACAUGCAAGUCGAGCGAACGGACGAGAAGCUUGCUUCUCUGAUGUUAGCGGCGGACGGGUGAGUAACACGUGGAUAACCUACCUAUAAGACUGGGAUAACUUCGGGAAACCGGAGCUAAUACCGGAUAAUAUUUUGAACCGCAUGGUUCAAAAGUGAAAGACGGUCUUGCUGUCACUUAUAGAUGGAUCCGCGCUGCAUUAGCUAGUUGGUAAGGUAACGGCUUACCAAGGCAACGAUGCAUAGCCGACCU
rnacentral:rRNA from 1 species